rnacentral:rRNA from 1 species
CCUACGGGAGGCAGCAGUGGGGAAUUUUGGACAAUGGGCGCAAGCCUGAUCCAGCAAUGCCGCGUGAGUGAAGAAGGCCUUCGGGUUGUAAAGCUCUUUUGUCAGGGAAGAAACGGUGGGGGCUAAUAUCCCUUGCUAAUGACGGUACCUGAAGAAUAAGCACCGGCUAACUACGUGCCAGCAGCCGCGGUAAUACGUAGGGUGCAAGCGUUAAUCGGAAUUACUGGGCGUAAAGCGUGCGCAGGCGGUUUUGUAAGUUUGUCGUGAAAUCCCCGGGCUCAACCUGGGAAUGGCGAUGAAGACUGCAAGGCUAGAAUCUGGCAGAGGGGGGUAGAAUUCCACGUGUAGCAGUGAAAUGCGUAGAGAUGUGGAGGAACACCGAUGGCGAAGGCAGCCCCCUGGGUCAAGAUUGACGCUCAUGCACGAAAGCGUGGGGAGCAAACAGGAUUAGAUACCCUGGUAGUCCACGCCCUAAACGAUGUCUACUAGUUGUCGGGUUUUAAUUAACUUGGUAACGCAGCUAACGCGUGAAGUAGACCGCCUGGGGAGUACGGUCGCAAGAUUAAAACUUAAUGAAUUGACGGNUGAGACGNGCGAGACGACGACGAGGGAGAGG